rnacentral:rRNA from 1 species
GAUGAACGCUGGCGGCGUGCCUAAUACAUGCAAGUCGAGCGAACGGACGAGAAGCUUGCUUCUCUGAUGUUAGCGGCGGACGGGUGAGUAACACGUGGAUAACCUACCUAUAUGACUGGGAUAACUUCGGGAAACCGGAGCUAAUACCGGAUAAUAUUUUGAACCGCAUGGUUCAAAAGUGAAAGACGGUCUUGCUGUCACUUAUAGAUGGAUCCGCGCUGCAUUAGCUAGUUGGUAAGGUAACGGCUUACCAAGGCAACGAUGCAUAGCCGACCUGAGAGGGUGAUCGGCCACACUGGAACUGAGACACGGUCCAGACUCCUACGGGAGGCAGCAGUAGGGAAUCUUCCGCAAUGGGCGAAAGCCUGACGGAGCAACGCCGCGUGAGUGAUGAAGGUCUUCGGAUCGUAAAACUCUGUUAUUAGGGAAGAACAUAUGUGUAAGUAACUGUGCACAUCUUGAAGGUACCUAAGCAGAAAGCCACGGCUAACUACGU